GGGGAUUUAGCUCAGCGGUAGAGCGCUUGCCUAGCAAGCGCAAGGCCCUGGAUUCAGUCCCCA
rnacentral:tRNA from 1 species